rnacentral:rRNA from 1 species
GGCCAGACUCCUACGGGAGGCAGCAGUGAGGAAUAUUGGUCAAUGGGCUUACGCCUGAACCAGCCAAGUCGCGUGAGGGAAGACUGCCCUAUGGGUUGUAAACCUCUUUUGUCAGGGAGCAAUUGGCGCUACGUGUAGCGUUAUCGAGAGUACCUGAAGAAAAAGCAUCGGCUAACUCCGUGCCAGCAGCCGCGGUAAUACGGAGGAUGCGAGCGUUAUCCGGAUUUAUUGGGUUUAAAGGGUGCGUAGGCGGGAGAUCAAGUCAGCGGUAAAAAUGCGGGGCCCAACCCCGUCGAGCCGUUGAAACUGGUUUUCUUGAGUGGGCGAGAGGUAUGCGGAAUGCGUGGUGUAGCGGUGAAAUGCAUAGAUAUCACGCAGAACCCCGAUUGCGAAGGCAGCAUACCGGCGCCCAACUGACGCUGAGGCACGAAAGCGUGGGUAUCGAACAGGAUUAGAUACCCCGGUAA